UUUUAAAAUGAUGUGUGUUAAAGACAAAUACGGAGUAAGCUGUAAUCCAUAGGGUAUGACACACCAGACAUGUAGGCAACACAGACACAGGUUUAAUCCAGGACCUUUUUAGAUGUGGACAUGGCGGCCCAGGCCCAGAGUAGGGGCGUGUCCUUGUCUGGACACCUCUUGGUCGCUGGCCAGGCUGGCCCACAGAUGGCAAGUCUGGGCUUUCACCCCCACCCCGGGUGGGGGCUUCCCCAUCCUGCCCUGUCUAUCCUCAGCAGAGCCAUGAGGAGGAGGAGGAGGAAAUGUUUUUCUUCUUCAAUUGGAAAAAAUAACAGUGGGGCCAGGGCUGUACUGGGAGGGGUGCCUCCUGCCCCUCUGUCCCUUGGGCCUGACCUAAGAGAAUGCUUUCCCUGCAGGAAAUGCUCCUGACACGCUGACUGCCCCGAGCAUGGAUUUGGUGACAGGAAGGUGCUGGAAGCAGAAUCCUCUGGGAGAGCACAGCACCCCCAGCAAGGGCCUAGACUGUGCCAGGAGCUAUCACUGCUGCUUCUAGGGACCUUUACCCAACUUGGUUCCUCCUGAAAGGAAGAGGGACUGUGGAGCCCAGGUAAAGAGGGGGAAACGGAGGCUCAGAGAGGGCGAGUGACUUACUGUGGACCACCAAGCUGCUCACGGUACAGUUGGGACUUUCAUCCAGGUUUGGCUGUUCCCUCUUCUCCAGGAAGGGGCCCAGUGACGAUGCAGGGGAACCCCAGUCAAGGCUGUGGAGUUGUCACCCUGUAGUCCUGGCACCUGGGUUCAGAUCCCUACUCUCUGCUUCCUAUUGAUGUGAUCCAGGGUGAGUCCCUUCCCCUCUCCGGGUCUCUGUUUUCAUACCUCUCCCGGCCGUGGGGAUCGAAUGAGAUAAUCCCUAGACAGUGUGUAGCCAGUACCGGCCCUCAGUAAAUAAUCAGUGACAUUUAUUAUUAAAUAUAUUGAUGGUAAGGUGUUGUGCCCACAAUCCCUCCAACUCUGACUUCUGGAAAGUCCUGUCUUUGCCCUGCCCUAGGGCUGGGGGGAGCUCAGAGCUGGCUUGGGUUUUUGUCGGAUGCCCACUUCCCGCUGUCCUGCCUCCUCUCACCUGCAGCCAGGGUCCCAUCUAGAGACCCUUUUGCUCCCUCUCAGACCACACCCUCCUCUGGGCCUCAUUUCCCCUUCUGUACAUCGGGGUGAUACACCUUGUGCCCUCCACAGAGCUGGCCAGUGGUGUUCAGUCUCUGCUCAGGGUGGGAGCUGGGUCUUUCCUCAGUGGCUCCCUGGAAUCUAGUGUGCCUCCAGACCCCUCACCUCCCCAGUGCCCCCUCCCCCUCCCCUUGCUCAGCAAGUGUGUGGGAGAUAACAAAAUAAUAAUUACCAUUUCCAUAGCCUGACCCUGGCUAGGCCGAGUUCUAGGCACUUUGCAUCUAUUACUCUACUGAAACCUAACAACAGCCCUUUAAAGAAGCUGCCAUUAUCAUACCCAUCUAUUGAUGGGGAAACUGAGGCACAAGGCCAUGCAGUGACUUGCCUGAGGUCACAAGCUGGCAUCUGGAGCCUGGAUUCCAGAGUCUUUGUUCGUAAUAGCACAGGGUAUAUGGGAAAGGCUGGCAUGGAUGAGCAGGGCCCAGGUCUUACUGGCUCUGUGGCCUAUACAAGUCUGUAAAGAGAGUGUCCAGAGAAGAUGUGUUUCCUGUCUUGAUUUCUGGGUGGACUUUUCUGCAUCCCUCAAAACCCAGCCCAAAUGUCACCUGUCCUGGGAAGUCCUCCCCAGUGAACUCCUAGGCAUCCCUCCAGGCCUGCUCUAAAUGACCCUUCUGAGUAGGCUCCCUUAAGCCCUGAAGCAGGGCUAGAAGCCCCUCCUAUCAAAUCGGUUACCCCAUAGUAUGAGGGCAUGGUCUUCCCCAGUGAGCCAAGUGAUCCCCUGGACCUUCCAGGGUGAGACACACAGUCACUAUGUUGGGAUGGCUGGCGGGCUGUAUCACCACCCCAGGACAUCUGCCAAGCAGAAUCAGAAUCAUGUUUUUUGUUGGAGGUCUCCUCCCUGGGCCUCCCUGGUCAGACCCUGCCAAAGCUGCCUCCUGACCCCUCUUUGUCCAUGUGGCUAUGCCAACCAGCCACCUUCUCGAGACCAGGCAUUCCUGCUCUGCCCACUGCAGCCUGGGCACCCCGCUGGCCAGUGACUCCUCACACCUGAUUCCUGGUGCAGUUCCGAGGUCUGCCCCUCUCUGUUCCACCUCCAUACACAGGCCAAGCCCAGCGUGGAAUAAAACACAGGAACAGAGCCCCUCCUUCCUUGGGAAUUGGGAAUAUUAUGGGGACCCACAGGGGUGGUCCAUACUAUCUUCAGCUCAGCCUCAUGGGGGAGCCGAUUUUUAUUUUUCAUUUAUUUUUUAAAUUGUAUGUAUUUAUUCAUGAGAGACACAGAGAGAGGCAGAGACACAGGCAGAGGAGAAGCAGGUUUCCUGCUAGGAGCCUGAUGUAGGACUCGAUCCCAGGACCCCGGGAUCAUGCCAUGAGCCGAAGACAGACACUCAACCACUGAGCCACCCAGGUGCCUUGAGGAGCCAAUCUUUAAUCAAAGAACUCAAAUUAUGACAUCACCGAAACUCAAAAUAUCCAUCCUAAGAAGGAGGGAUACCAGGUGAUUCUAGGAGAGUUUCUCGCAGACAGAGUAGCCCACCUUGGGUCGGUGAGGGCUUCCUCAAGGCAGAGGCUUGAGACCUUGAGAGCUGAGAUCUGCAGGAUGCUGAGGGGUGAGGAAGGUGAAGGAAGAGCUUUCCCGGCAAGGGGAACAAGGACAAAGACCUACAGGAUGUCCCCAAGACUUGGCUCUGGCUUCUUCUUCCAGGCAGCCUUCCCAGACCUCCCAGGCUGGGUUAGACCUCCUCCUCUGGACUGCUGGGGUGACCUGUGCUUCCACUCUCAGAGCACCCACACCAGGUGACAAUACCUGUGGCUCUGGCUUCCCCACCAAUCAGGGGGAAUCUCAGGAGCUGGAUCUUCUUGGGAGCAUAUAUCACCAGGCAGAGUGUUAGACUCAAAGCAGGUUCACAAGGAUGAAUGAAUGAAUGAAUAAAUGAGAGGAAAUGAACAAAUGUUCUUCCAUCAUUUCCUGGGCCAGUGCCCAUUCCAUACAGCUCGGGGCAGCCUUGACCUUAUCUUCCCCCCACCCCCUGGCCUCUCGCGAAUGUCCUCACCUGCACUUACCCACCUGCCAGGAAAGGUCAACAGCCCUUGCUCUGCCAUGGGGAGAAUUUGUGUGUCCAAAAUGAAGGUUUUCCAGUGAGGAUGUGACUUGGCUGGGUUAAAAUUUAUAGGGCAGUGAUACCAGCCUCACGUCCAUCCCCUCAGCUCAAGGCCAUGGGCAGGGGAGAGCCACUUGGGUCCAUAAGCAGAACAGUGUGGAAGGCUGUGGCGCCAGCGGGAUCCCGGUUCACAUCCUGCUUCGCCACUUCCCAAUCGGGCGACCUUGGUCAGACCCAUCUAUCUGUGAGCCUCUGUUUCCCCAUCUGCAAAAGGGGGGGAGGUUGUGCCUCUUGGACUCACAGUAGUCUUGUCACCCCUUGUGCAGCCCCUGGCAGAAAGUCAAGACCUACAAGGCCUGAGGUAGAAAAACACUUUUGGAAUAAAAGCAGCUAAUGUUUAUCGAGGCUGCCCAGGAGCAGACACUGCUCCAGGAGCAUCACAGGGAUUGUUGUAUUUGCCACCUUAGAGGAAGCCACUUUUACUCUUUCUUCUACCCAUUUUACAGAAGGGGAGAUGAGGCAUGGCAAAGUUAAGCGACUCAUCCAAAGUCAUAGUGCAAAGGAAUGGCACAGGCUGGACCCAAGCCAAGGUAGGCCCCACUGCGGUGCGCACAGGAGCGCCUAGGAGGUCCUGGGUGCCCUGUCCCUUCCUCCCACACAUCCAGGGGGCGGCAGCUAAUCACCGUCCAUCAGUUCAGGACUCCUCCACCCCCAAGGCUACUGCAUCCAUCCAAGCCCCACCUCCUCCUGCCUGGAUGCCUCCUCCCACUCUUUCCUCUUCCUCUCCUCAAAUCACUUCUCCACACAGCAGCCUCAGGGGUGUGAUUGUAAAUCUCACAAAUUGUAAAUCUCUUCGUGUUGUUUUUCUCUAACUUGAAAUUCUGCAAAAGUUCUUGGGGUAAAUAAAGUCCCAUCUCUUUUCCCUCAUCCACAGUCUCUGUGCGGCCAUCCGGCCUCACUCCAGGCCCACACAUGCAUCUGCUGGUCCCACCACCUGGUUGGUUCCCCCUCCUGCCUCCCCACUCAGCCUGAGUGUGGCCAGACACCCUCACACCCACCCUACACAGAGCUCAUGGCACACUAGUUAUAGGAUUAUUUAACAUCAGCAGGUGUCUCAAGGGCGGGUCCUCAUCUGUCCUGUUACCUGCUGCUGCCCUGUGGCCAGACACUCCAGGAGGUGCUGCUACAUCCCUAAAUGAGCCAUGGUAGGACCUUUGGGUUAGUUUCACGUCCAACAGAACACAGACUUGGGUAGUUAGUAGUGGCAGAUGCACAAGGUCUGUGUGGGGGCACACGGUGGUGGAGACUUUGAGCAACUGCCUGGGGAGGGAGCCCUAUUUCCAGCCCCGGGAAACAGGAAGUGAGUCAGGGUCCCGAGAAGGCCUGCCGGACGCUCGGCACCUUGGGUGCGAUUGAUGAGCGCCUGGACGGAAGGGCCAGCCGCACCUAGGGAAGCAGGAAGGAGACCAAAGGAAGAGGAUAGGAGGGGAGACCCUCUCCCCAGCAGAACAGGCGGCCCUGUGGGGCCCCAGCGGAAGUGGAUGAGGUCAUCACAGAUGCAGCCACCCAGCCCAUUGUCCUGUUACACCUGGGGUUGGCCAGUGUGGCAGGAGUAGCCAGGAGUCCCAACACCCCCAUCCAACUGACACCAAUCCUGGGUCCCUCUAAGGCGGGUGUGAACUUAUUUCACUUACUCCCCACACCCUAUGAGCACAAGGUCUCACUGGCCGCAUUUUCUAGAAGACUAAAGAGAGGCAGGAGCUUGCCAGGGUCACAUCAGAGAGGGUAGCAUGAGAUUUGGAUCCAGCUCUGCGCGGCCUUGGAGAUUUACAUGGAGAUCCAGGGACACAGGAAAUUCAAGACACCAGCACUGGCCUGGAGGCACCAUCAAGAAAUCCUGGGGCAGGUGUCUGAGGCCCAGGCUGGAGCAGGUCAGGCUCCUAGUCCUGGUUCAGUCUCUACCUAAAAACAGAGCCAAUCAGGUGCUCUUUCCCCGGGCCUCACUCAAGAGGCCGGGCUGCCCAGGCCAGUGUCAAAGUCAGGAGUCUGAGGCUGGGAAGGUCCCCUUUCCUCCCUGAAUUACAACCGGGGACCCCAAGAGUGGUUUUGGCUGGGAGCUGGGGCACUACUCUCUGACCCGCCAGCCCAGACAAGGGAGCUGGCCUGGGCCCUCUGUGGGCAGUCCUGUCAGAGAUGGGAUGAUUCAGGGGGCACUUUCGCUUCCUCAGUGGGCCCACGUCACCCCCUUUCCUGCCUCUGCGUUCUCACUUCCCCAUCAGUGCCCAUGGGCAGAAUCGAGCACCCCCCACUGGAAAAGGAACUGAGGGCUUCCAUGGCCUGGGCUCCAGCCCUGGGAUGUGGGUUCGGACAAGCAGCACAGCUACAGAUGGGCGUCCUGAGGCCCAGCCACUGAGGGUGUGUGCGCCCCUGGGUCAUGGGGUCAAGGGCAGGCACAAUCAGACAGGAGAUGAUGCUGGGGGGGGGGGGGUGUUGAAGAUUUUCAUGACUGAAUUUUCUAAGUCUCCUCAAAGAAUGUGUAUUAAUUGUGUUAAAUACAAGCAUGAGGCGAAAGUCACCAGAGGGGGAUGUGGGUCCCGAUGGAUUUUUACAGGGAGUCACAGGCCAGAAGCGCAGCCGCACCUGCAAAGGGAAGGGUGAUGGGGUGAGAGGGGUCUUGGAAGGCAAGCACUCAGCCCCCACCCAGCCCAGGAUCUGUCCCCUCCGCACAGCCCAGAGUGAGGACGGAGAGCCUCAGGGCAGCUGGUCACCUGUCUCAGGUUGUGCACCCCAGGCCCCCCCCAUACAACUUCCAGGGCUAGACCCACUUGGGUGGUCCUCGGGAUCCCCUUGGAAAGGCAGCCUCGGUGGAACCCCAGCUCUGCCACUUCCUGGCAAAGAAUUGCCUUCAUCUGUGCCUCGGUUUCCUCGGUUGUCGUGGAGCAUUACCUCAGGGCAGAGCCAGGUACACGGUGAGCGACGCGUGGGGGCCGGCGGCCGUCUGCCAGACACUGGCCACGGUGCCGUGUGCAUGCGGGAGGGGGACAGAGUGCCUGCGCCGGUGCCCGGCUCUGUGAGUUCCUGUGCAUGGACAGGCCCCCAGUGACAUCCAGCCAGAAAGGGGCAGCCGUUUCUCCCGAGACCCGCCCUCUGCCUCCUGUCCCCCUCUUCCAGUCGUCUCUCUUCGUCAGCCCUCGGGGCCACCAGUGCAGCCUAAGCUGGAGCCCCCGGACACCAUGACGCCCUCGGGCCGCCCAGCACUGCCCCGCACGGCUGGGGAGAGGCCAGGAGGUUACCUUUGCAAAGGCUCCUAAGUGCUGAUUUACAGCAGGUGGGAACCCCCCACCGUCCCCUCCCCCCCCAAUUCACUUCUAUUUGCA